rnacentral:rRNA from 1 species
AUUGAACGCUGGCGGAAUGCUUUACACAUGCAAGUCGAGCGGCAGCGCGGUCUUCGGACUGGCGGCGAGCGGCGAACGGGUGAGUAAUACAUCGGAACAUGCCCAGUCGUGGGGGAUAACACUUCGAAAGAAGUGCUAAUACCGCAUACGUCCUGAGGGAGAAAGCGGGGGAUCGCAAGACCUCGCGCGAUUGGAGUGGCCGAUGUCAGAUUAGCUAGUUGGUGGGGUAAAGGCCUACCAAGGCAACGAUCUGUAGCUGGUCUGAGAGGAUGAUCAGCCACACUGGGACUGAGACACGGCCCAGACUCCUACGGGAGGCAGCAGUGGGGAAUUUUGGACAAUGGGGGCAACCCUGAUCCAGCCAUUCCGCGUGAGUGAAGAAGGCCUUCGGGUUGUAAAGCUCUUUCGGCAGGAACGAAACGGUGAGCUCUAACAUAGCUCGCUAAUGACGGUACCUGAAGAAGAAGCACCGGCUAACUACGUGCCAGCAGCCGCAGUAACAC